GUGAGACAGUUCGGUCCCUAUCUGCCGUGGGUGUAGGAUACUUGAGAGGAGUUGCCCCUAGUACGAGAGGACCGGGGUGAACGAUCCACUGGUGGACCUGUUAUCGUGCCAACGGUAGUGCAGGGUAGCUAUGAUCGGAAAGGAUAACCGCUGAAGGCAUCUAAGCGGGAAGCCCCCCUCAAAACAAGGUAUCCCUGAGGGCCGUGGAAGACC
rnacentral:rRNA from 1 species